rnacentral:rRNA from 1 species
UACGUAGGGGGCGAGCGUUGUCCGGAGUUACUGGGCGUAAAGGGCAUGCAGGCGGUCCGACACGUUUUGUGUGACAGCGGGUGGCUUAACUACCCGAGGAUGCGAAAGACGGUUGGACUUGAGGACUCGAGAGGGACACGGAAUUCCGGGUGGAGUGGUGAAAUGCGUAGAUAUCUGGAGGAACACCGGUGGCGAAGGCGGCAUCCUGGACCGGCAUUGACGCUGAGGCGCGAAAGCCAGGGGAGCAAACGGG